UGUGAACCACACAAAUUAACAAGAGCCUCCACGCACCUGGCGUGACCCCGUGAGGCGGCGCAAUGCAGAGCCGUCAAUCCGUCCUUAUCAGAGGCGCCCGCAGCGGCUGAACCACCGGCUCUAAAAUGCGUUGAAAUAAGAAAAGACAAAGUUUGCGGAGUCGAGGAAAAAUUGGCUGCCACUUGUGGGAAGGCUCUCAUUUUACAAACUGAUAACGGUCCAAUCUUGUUUCCUAUCUAAGCGAAAAAGUUUCACGUGAAUCGAAAUAGCAGAAAAGAAAAAUAGAGAAAAGUUGGAACUCACCAGUUGCCCAGUGGAGAACGCUGUGCCCCUCGAAGUCUUUGGCGUUAACGUCUGCACCGUUCGCCAAAAGAACAGCGACCAAUUGUGUAUCGCCAGCAAUAACAGCGAG